rnacentral:tRNA from 1 species
GUAGACAUAGUUUAACUAAAACACUAGAUUGUGAUUCUAAAAAUAGGGGUUAAAAUCCCCUUGUCCACC